rnacentral:rRNA from 1 species
UACGUAGGGUGCAAGCGUUGUCCGGAAUUAUUGGGCGUAAAGAGCUCGUAGGCGGUCUGUCGCGUCUGCUGUGAAAACUCGGGGCUUAACCCCGGGCCUGCAGUGGGUACGGGCAGACUAGAGUGCGGUAGGGGAGAUUGGAAUUCCUGGUGUAGCGGUGGAAUGCGCAGAUAUCAGGAGGAACACCGAUGGCGAAGGCAGAUCUCUGGGCCGUAACUGACGCUGAGGAGCGAAAGCAUGGGGAGCGAACAGG